rnacentral:rRNA from 1 species
AGUGAACGCUGGCGGUAGGCCUAACACAUGCAAGUCGAACGGCAGCACAGGAGAGCUUGCUCUCUGGGUGGCGAGUGGCGGACGGGUGAGGAAUACAUCGGAAUCUGCCCAGUCGUGGGGGAUAACGUAGGGAAACUUACGCUAAUACCGCAUACGACCUUCGGGUGAAAGAGGGGGAUCGCAAGACCUCUCGCGAUUGGAUGAGCCGAUGUCGGAUUAGCUAGUUGGCGGGGUAAUGGCCCACCAAGGCGACGAUCCGUAGCUGGUCUGAGAGGAUGAUCAGCCACAUUGGAACUGAGACACGGUCCAGACUCCUACGGGAGGCAGCAGUGGGGAAUAUUGGACAAUGGGCGCAAGCCUGAUCCAGCCAUACCGCGUGGGUGAAGAAGGCCUUCGGGUUGUAAAGCCCUUUUGUUGGGAAAGAAAUCUUUCAGGCUAAUACCCUGGGAGGAUGACGGUACCCAAAGAAUAAGCACCGGCUAACUUCGUG